UAUAGAAUGCCUGAUUAAAAGGACAAUUUUGAUAGAGUUGAUCAUGGAAUAUUUCCUUCUAUAAUUAAA
rnacentral:tRNA from 1 species